AUUGCUUCUUGGCCUUUUGGCUAAGAUCAAGUGUAGUAUCUGUUCUUAUCAGUUUAAUAAUCUGGAGCUUACAUUCUAAUAGGAGACACAAACAAGGAACAAACAAGCAAAAAACCAAAU
ensembl:snRNA U2 U2 spliceosomal RNA